rnacentral:rRNA from 1 species
GAUGAACGCUAGCGGCAGGCCUAAUACAUGCAAGUCGAACGGGAUCCAGAUCAAAGCUUGCUUUGGUUUGGUGAGAGUGGCGCACGGGUGCGUAACGCGUGAGCAACCUACCCUUGUCAGGGGGAUAGCCCGGCGAAAGUCGGAUUAAUACCGCAUGACAUCAUUGAGAGGCAUCUUUCGAUGAUCAAAGAUUUAUCGGACAAGGAUGGGCUCGCGUGACAUUAGCUAGUUGGUAAGGUAACGGCUUACCAAGGCUACGAUGUCUAGGGGCUCUGAGAGGAGGACCCACCAGACUGGUACUGAGACCCGGACCAGACUCCUACGGGAGGCAGCAGUAAGGAAUAUUGGUCAAUGGACGGAAGUCUGAACCAGCCAUGCCGCGUGCAGGAAGACGGCCCUAUGGGUUGUAAACUGCUUUUAUACGGGAACAAACGUCGGUACGUGUACCGGUCUGAGUGUACCGUAAGAAUAAGGAUCGGCUAACUCCGUG